ACCAGACCUCAGAAUGAACACUCUUAAAAUUAAGGAUUCUGUGUUUUGCCUAUUGUGGCUCAGUCCUAUCUAAGCCACACCAAGGAAAAAAAAACCAUCCUUGGGUUUCUGUUGCAUAAAGAUUCUAUCUGGAAGUCUAGUAU